rnacentral:rRNA from 1 species
CCUACGGGAGGCAGCAGUGAGGAAUAUUGGUCAAUGGCCGGAAGGCUGAACCAGCCAAGCCGCGUGAAGGACGCAGGUGCCAAGCAUUGUAAACUUCUUUUGUCAAGGGACAAAAUCAGGCUCGAGAGCCUGACCGAGGGUACUUGAAGAAAAAGCAUCGGCUAAUUCCGUGCCAGCAGCCGCGGUAAUACGGAGGAUGCGAGCGUUAUCCGGAGUUAGUGGGUUUAAAGGGUGCGUAGGCGGGCUGUUAAGUCAGCGGUAAAAGCCCGGGGCUCAACCCCGGCGAGCCGUUGAAACUGGCUGUCUUGAGAUGUCGAGAGGUAUGCGGAAUGCGCAGUGUAGCGGUGAAAUGCUUAGAUAUUGCGCAGAACUCCGAUUGCGAAGGCAGCAUACCGGCGGCGAUCUGACGCUGAGGCACGAAAGCGUGGGUAUCGAACAGGAUUAGAUACCCUUGUAGUC